GACGAACCGUGCGAACGUUGUUCGGAAUCACUGGGCUUAAAGGGCGCGUAGGCGGCCAACUAAGUCAGACGUGAAAUCCCUCGGCUUAACCGGGGAACUGCGUCUGAUACUGGAUGGCUUGAGUUUGGGAGAGGGAUGCGGAAUUCCAGGUGUAGCGGUGAAAUGGCGUAGAUAUCUGGAGGAACACCGGUGGCGAAGGCGGCAUCCUGGACCAACACUGACGCUGAGGAGCGAAAGCCAGGGGAGCAAACGGG
rnacentral:rRNA from 1 species